rnacentral:rRNA from 1 species
GACGUAGGGGGCUAGCGUUGUUCGGAAUUACUGGGCGUAAAGCGCGUGUAGGUGGUUGUCCACGUUGGUUGUGAAAGCCUUGAGCUCAACUCAAGAAAUGCAUUCAGGACUGAGCGGCUGGAGUGCCGGAGAGGAACGCGGAAUUCCUGGUGUAGCGGUGAAAUGCGUAGAUAUCAGGAGGAACACCAGUGGUGUAGACGGCGUUCUGGACGGUUACUGACGCUGAGAUACGAAAGCGUGGGGAGCAAACAGG